rnacentral:rRNA from 1 species
UACGUAGGGGGCUAGCGUUGUCCGGAAUCAUUGGGCGUAAAGAGCGUGUAGGCGGCCCGGUAAGUCCGCUGUGAAAGUCGGGGGCUCAACCCUCGAAUGCCGGUGGAUACUGUCGGGCUAGAGUGCGGAAGAGGAGAGUGGAAUUCCUGGUGUAGCGGUGAAAUGCGCAGAUAUCAGGAGGAACACCGAUUGCGAAGGCAGCUCGCUGGGACGGUACUGACGCUGAGGCGCGAAAGCGUGGGGAGCGAACAGG